ACAUACAAGUAGUAGGGAAAGGGAAACUAGGACCGACCCUUCGGGAGGCUUGAACAGGUGGCUGCAUGGCUGUCGUCAGCUCGUGUCGUGAGAUGUUCGGUUAAGUCCGCUAACGAGCGCAACCCUCGCUGUGUGUUACAAGUGUCACACGGAACUGCCGGUCAUAAACCGGAGGAAGGUGGGGAUGACGUCAAGUCAGCAUGGCCUUUAUAUCCUGGGCUACACACACGCUACAAUGGGAAGGGACAAUAGGUUGCGAAGCCGCGAGGCGGAGCCAAUCCAGCAAAACUUCCCUCAGUUCAGAUUGCAGGCUGCAACUCGCCUGCAUGAAGUUGGAGUUGCUAGUAAACGCAGGUCAGCCAUACUGCGUUGAAUACGUUCCCGGGGCUU
rnacentral:rRNA from 1 species